CUAUAGUUUGAUUCUUGCUAUUACCUUUAUUAAUUGGCUUGGAAAAUACAUGCAAAUUUUAGUUCGUAAUUUAUAACGUUGUUCAUUAAAUAUGAAAGGGUUUAAUAAAACGGUAGCAUAAGCUAUAAUUUUUAGAAGUGCAGUAUUAAAAAUUUAAUUGAUCAGAUAAGUGUGGAUUAAGCAAAGCCUAUUUAGGUCAGGUUAAAACUUGUGCCAGCAGCCGCGGUUAAACUCGAUGUCCUAGUGAAGGUGCAUAAGUGUGAGGUUAAAUAAGAUAAGUUAGAUAAAAAUUGUGUGUUCAAUAUAAUAAUAAGUGAAAUUUGUUUAUUGAUUCAAAAAAUUGAGUGCAAAUUAUAUCAAACUUAAAUUGAAGCCUAGAAAAUUUAGGUAAGAACCAGGAUUAGAUACCCUGCUACUCUAAUAGGAGCAAAUAGUGUAAGACUUGAGUAUUAGUAAUAAAUUAAUUUUAAAUUCAAAGAACCUGGCGGUACUUUAGUCUAGUUGGAGGAACCUGUUUUAUAAACGAUAAACCACGUAGAAUCUUUCUUGUUCUUGUAUAGCUAGUAUACCUUCAUUACAGAUAAUUUUUAUUGAUUAAUUAUUGAAAUUGGUUCCUAACCGAGUAAAUUAGAUCAAGGUGCUGCAAAUGGACAAGUAAAAAUGGGUUACAAUGGUUUUUGACGUUAAGCGGAUUAUAUUCAGGAUGAGUAUAUGAAGAUGGAUUCAAUUGUAAUUUUAACUUUAAUAAGGUAAAAUGGUAUUAGCUCUAAAGUGUGUACAUAUUGCCCGUCGCUUUCAUUAAAUCAAAUGAGAUAAGUCGUAACAUAGUGGGUGUACUGGAAAGUGCACCUAGAAG
rnacentral:ncRNA from 1 species